rnacentral:rRNA from 1 species
UACGGGGGGAGCAAGCGUUGUUCGGAUUUACUGGGCGUAAAGGGCGCGUAGGCGGCCACCGCAAGUCAGUUGUGAAAUCUCUGGGCUUAACCCAGAAAGGUCAACUGAUACUGCGGGGCUAGAGUGCAGAAGGGGCAACUGGAAUUCUCGGUGUAGCGGUGAAAUGCGUAGAUAUCGAGAGGAACACCUGCGGCGAAGGCGGGUUGCUGGGCUGACACUGACGCUGAGACGCGAAAGCGUGGGGAGCGAACAGG